rnacentral:lncRNA from 1 species
CUGGGAAACCAAUGUUUUGACUAUAUUGAAAUUCUGCUUUUUACCCUCUAGAACCACUUAAAACUAAGCUUAUUCACCUAGUAACAGCAAUUCACUUUGCAAAACACUAGGUGUGUGUUUAUCUUCAAUGUCAAGUUCCUACAAGCUUUUCCCGUUUGGAACGAACAGAAUUCACCAAAGAAUGAGAGAUUGAGACUGGGAAAAGCUUUUUUAGUCUAUAUAGAAAAGUAUGCUUUUUACCAUCUACAACCACUUAAAACUAAGCUUAAUCGCCAAGUUAGAACAAUU